rnacentral:rRNA from 1 species
AUUGAACGCUGGCGGCAGGCCUAACACAUGCAAGUCGAGCGAGCGGCGGACGGGUGAGUAAUGUAUGGGGACUGCCCGAUAGAGGGGGAUAACUACUGGAAACGGUAGCUAAUACCGCAUACUAUCGGAUAACCCAUAUGUGAUUAGCUAGUAGGUGAGGUAAUGGCUCACCUAGGUGACGAUCACGAGCUGAUCUGAGAGGAUGAUCAGCCAAACUGGGACUGAGACACGGCCCAUACUCCUACGGAGGCAGCAGUGGGGAAUAUUGCACAAUGGGCGCAAGCCUGAUGCAGCCAUGCCGCGUGUAUGAAGAAGGCCUUAGGGUUGAAAAGUACUUGCAGUCGGGAGGCGUUACCGACAGAGGAAGCACCGGCUAACUACGUGCCAGCAGACGCGGUAAUUC